UGGGGAAUAUUGGACAAUGGGCGAAAGCCUGAUCCAGCAAUGCCGCGUGAGUGAUGAAGGCCUUAGGGUUGUAAAGCUCUUUUUACCCGGGAUGAUAAUGACAGUACCGGGAGAAUAAGCUCCGGCUAACUCCGUGCCAGCAGCCGCGGUAAUACGGAGGGAGCUAGCGUUAUUCGGAAUUACUGGGCGUAAAGCGCACGUAGGCGGCUUUGUAAGUUAGAGGUGAAAGCCUGGAGCUCAACUCCAGAAUUGCCUUUAAGACUGCAUCGCUUGAAUCCAGGAGAGGUGAGUGGAAUUCCGAGUGUAGAGGUGAAAUUCGUAGAUAUUUGGAAGAACACCAGUGGCGAAGGCGGGCUCACUGGACUGGUAUUGACGCUGAGGUGCGAAGCGUGGGGAGCAAACAGGAUUAGAUACCCUGGUAGUCCACGCCGUAAACGAUGAUAACUAGCUGUCGGGGCUCUUAGAGCUUCGGUGGC
rnacentral:rRNA from 1 species